rnacentral:rRNA from 1 species
GACGAACGCUGGCGGCGUGCUUAACACAUGCAAGUCGAACGGUGAAGCGGGUGCUUGCACUCGUGGAUCAGUGGCGAACGGGUGAGUAACACGUGAGUAACCUGCCCUCCACUCUGGGAUAAGCGCUGGAAACGGCGUCUAAUACUGGAUACGACCGACCCUCGCAUGGGGUGUUGGUGGAAAGAUUUAUCGGUGGUGGAUGGACUCGCGGCCUAUCAGCUUGUUGGUGGGGUAAUGGCCUACCAAGGCGACGACGGGUAGCCGGCCUGAGAGGGCGACCGGCCACACUGGGACUGAGACACGGCCCAGACUCCUACGGGAGGCAGCAGUGGGGAAUAUUGCACAAUGGGCGAAAGCCUGAUGCAGCGACGCCGCGUGAGGGAUGACGGCCUUCGGGUUGUAAACCUUCUUCAGCAGGGAAAGA